UUGCAAAAAGAAUGAACCAAUUUGAAGCAUUACAUCAAAAGUUAUGCCAUUUUGAAUUUCCAUGCACACUUUGUGAUCAAAUGACCAUAACUUCUCAACCAUUCAUCAUAUGGACAUGAAUUAGGACUUUUUGGAAAGGGGAGACAAAAAUCUACAACUUUCACGUUCACCAAAAAUCCAUUUGAAACUUAUUUGACAUUGACAAGUCAAGUUGAAAGUGGACCAAAACUUGCCAAAUUUGGAAACUUUGAAUUAUAGGUCAUUUUCCAUUUUUAGUAACUUUUGCCAUGACCUUUGAAUCUUCAAGAUGGAUGUUUAGAAUGAUGAAUAGACCCCAUUUGAACAUGAUUGAGGUGUCUCAACUCAUUUCCCCACCUCAUAGCCCUCAGUUGACUGCACAAUUGACUUUUGGUCCUCAGAUGACCUUGAAAUGUCUUGAUUAACUUGAGCC
rnacentral:lncRNA from 1 species